AUUGAACGCUGGCGGCAGGCCUAACACAUGCAAGUCGAACGGUAGCACAGAGAGCUUGCUCUUGGGUGACGAGUGGCGGACGGGUGAGUAAUGUCUGGGAAACUGCCUGAUGGAGGGGGAUAACUACUGGAAACGGUAGCUAAUACCGCAUAACGUCGCAAGACCAAAGAGGGGGACCUUCGGGCCUCUUGCCAUCAGAUGUGCCCAGAUGGGAUUAGCUAGUAGGUGGGGUAACGGCUCACCUAGGCGACGAUCCCUAGCUGGUCUGAGAGGAUGACCAGCCACACUGGAACUGAGACACGGUCCAGACUCCUACGGGAGGCAGCAGUGGGGAAUAUUGCACAAUGGGCGCAAGCCUGAUGCAGCCAUGCCGCGUGUAUGAAGAAGGCCUUCGGGUUGUAAAGUACUUUCAGCGAGGAGGAAGGCGAUGCGGUUAAUAACCGUGUCGAUUGACGUUACUCGCAGAAGAAGCACCGGCUAACUCCGUG
rnacentral:rRNA from 1 species